GACGAACGCUGGCGGCGUGCUUAACACAUGCAAGUCGAACGGAAAGGCCUGCUUUCCCUUGUGGAUUGCGGGUACUCGAGUGGCGAACGGGUGAGUAACACGUGAGUGAUCUGCCCCCAACUUGGGUAUAAGCCUGGGAAACUGGGUCUAAUUCCCGAUAGGACUGCAGGGUGGUGCCUGUGGUGGAAAACGAUUUUCUAGUGGUUGGGGAUGAGCUCGCGGCCUAUCAGCUUGUUGGUGGGGUAAUGGCCUACCAAGGCGGCGACGGGUAGCCGGCCUGGGAGGGUGGACGGCCACAUUGGGACUGAGAUACGGCCCAGACUCCUACGGGAGGCAGCAGUGGGGAAGAUUGCACAAUGGGCGGAAGCCUGAUGCAGCGACGCCGCGUGGGGGAUGACGGCCUUCGGGUUGUAAACUCCUUUCGGCCGCGAGGAAGCCACCUGGUUGGAAGGGUGGUGACGGUAGUGGUAGAAGAAGCACCGGCUAACUACGUG
rnacentral:rRNA from 1 species